rnacentral:rRNA from 1 species
GGAAUCUUCCGCAAUGGACGAAAGUCUGACGGAGCAACGCCGCGUGAGUGAAGAAGGUUUUCGGAUCGUAAAACUCUGUUGUCAGAGAAGAACAAGUUGGAGAGUAACUGCUCCAGCCUUGACGGUAUCUGACCAGAAAGCCACGGCUAACUACGUGCCAGCAGCCGCGGUAAUACGUAGGUGGCAAGCGUUGUCCGGAUUUAUUGGGCGUAAAGCGAGCGCAGGCGGUUCCUUAAGUCUGAUGUGAAAGCCCACGGCUCAACCGUGGAAGGUCAUUGGAAACUGGGGAACUUGAGUGCAGAAGAGGAGAGUGGAAUUCCAUGUGUAGCGGUGAAAUGCGUAGAUAUAUGGAGGAACACCAGUGGCGAAGGCGACUCUCUGGUCUGUAACUGACGCUGAGGCUCGAAAGCGUGGGGAGCAAACAGGAUUAGAUACCCGGG